rnacentral:rRNA from 1 species
CCUACGGGAGGCAGCAGUGGGGAAUAUUGCACAAUGGGGGAAACCCUGAUGCAGCGACGCCGCGUGAGUGAAGAAGUAUUUCGGUAUGUAAAGCUCUAUCAGCAGGGAAGAAAUAGCGACCUUUGGGUCGCCAGACGGUACCUGACUAAGAAGCCCCGGCUAACUACGUGCCAGCAGCCGCGGUAAUACGUAGGGGGCAAGCGGUAUCCGGAUUUAAUGGGUGUAAAGGGAGCGUAGACGGGAGCUCAAGUCUGCAGUGAAAUGCCGGGGCUUAACCCUGGAACUGCUUUGGAAACUGUGCAGCUAGAGUGCAGGAGAGGUAAGUGGAAGUCCUGGUGUAGCGGUGAAAUGCGUAGAUAUUAGGAAGAACACCAGUGGCGAAGGCGGCUUACUGGACUGUAACUGACGUUGAGGCUCGAAAGCGUGGGGAGCAAACAGGAUUAGAUACCCCAGUAGUC